UCAUUUGAAUGUGACUAUGGAGCAACAAA
rnacentral:piRNA from 1 species